AUUUCGCUCGGCUGUAACCUGAUCCGCUGCUGUGGGUUGUGGGCUGUGUGGCUGUGGUAUAGGUGCCGCCAGUUGAUAACCCCCAGCGUGGGCACGGACCCACUGGUCGUCAACCGC
rnacentral:precursor_RNA from 15 species